AUAGCUGCCAGAUGCACCAGACAGGACACACUGCCAAUAUUGAAGGUGGUUGAAGCAUUGCAUUUUUAGGCACUGUCUAAGUCUCUAAGACAUUAACUAUAGACGAACUGCUUUAUUUAAAGGAGGAGUUUACACUUUUGGAGCCAAACAAAAAUGGAACCAUUAGCCUAGAAAACAUUAAAGCGGCCUCGAUGAAAAAGGCAACAAAUGCUAUGGAAUCACGCAUUCUUGACUUUUUUGGAUCAGUAAGUUCUAUGAUUUAACUGUACCAAUGCUUCCAUACAUUAUAUAAAUAGAAUUUGCACCAAUAGUGCUCGCUGAUUAAAAUAAAUUUGGGUUGCAGCUUAAUGCAUUGCAAUAUAGAAGGAUGGAUUUUGAUGAGUUUUGUGCAGCUACACUCAGUGUUCAUCAACUUGAAGCACUU